AUUGAACGCUGGCGGCAGGCUUAACACAUGCAAGUCGAGCGAGCGGCGGACGGGUGAGUAAUGUCUGGGAAACUGCCUGAUGGGGGGGGAUAACUAAUGGAAAAGGUAGCUAAUACCGCAUACCAUCAGAUGUGCCAAGAUGGGAUUGGCUAGUAGGUGGGGUAAUGGCUCACCUAGGCGACGAUCCCUAGCUGGUCUGAGAGGAUGACCAGCCACUCUGGAACUGCGCCACGGUCCAGACGCCUACGGGAUGCAGCAGUGGGGAAUAUUGCACAAUGGGCGCAAGCCUGAUGCAGCCAUGCCGCGUGUGUGAAGAAGGCCUUCGGGUUGUAAAGCACUUUCAGCGAGGAGGCGUUACUCGCAGAAGAAGCACCUGCUAACUCCGUGCCAGCCGCCGCGGUAAUUC
rnacentral:rRNA from 1 species